GACGAACCGUCCAAACGUUAUUCGGAAUCACUGGGCUUACAGAGUUCGUAGGCGGUCUGGAAAGUUGGGUGUGAAAUCCCUCGGCUCAACCGAGGAACUGCGCUUGAAACUACCAGACUCGAGGGAGAUAGAGGAAAGCGGAACUGAUGGUGGAGCGGUGAAAUGCGUAGAGAUCGGCAGGAACACCCAGGGGGAAACCAGUCGACUGGGCAGCACCUGACGCUGAGGUGCGAGAGCGUGGGGAGCGAACCGG
rnacentral:rRNA from 1 species